rnacentral:lncRNA from 1 species
AUUGGCAGCCAAGAACAAGUUACACACCGAUGAAGUGCUUGCUAGGAAUGGUUCGAAUGUUAGCAUCGGUUGCUGCUUUUGCGGUGCCAUCUUUGAGUCUAUUAAUCAUUUUUUCUUCCGUUGCUCAUUUAGAAGGAGUAUAUGGGCAAUCAUUAAAUUGAAUCUUAAAGGAAGAUCAGUAAACUUUUUUGAUCUUUGGACAUACUGG